rnacentral:rRNA from 1 species
GAUGAACGCUAGCGAUAGGCCUAACACAUGCAAGUCGAGGGGCAUCACAUGAAGUAGCAAUACGGAUGGUGGCGACCGGCGCACGGGUGAGUAACACGUAUGCAACCUGCCUUCAACAAGGGGAUAACCCGUUGAAAAACGGACUAAUACCCUAUAAUACAGGGGUCCCGCAUGGGGAUAUUUGUUAAAGAUUGAUCGGUUGAAGAUGGGCAUGCGUUCCAUUAGCUGGUUGGUGAGGUAACGGCUCACCAAGGCAACGAUGGAUAGGGGAACUGAGAGGUUUAUCCCCCACACUGGUACUGAGACACGGACCAGACUCCUACGGGAGGCAGCAGUGAGGAAUAUUGGUCAAUGGACGCAAGUCUGAACCAGCCACGUCGCGUGAAGGAAGACGG